rnacentral:lncRNA from 1 species
GGCUACAGUGAGUGCAGUCACACACUGGACUGGAGACAUUUCAUUUGGCAGCUGUCUCAGGUCUCGUCCAUGGUUCUGAUGUGGCUGGGUCCAGUAGGACUCCACGGAUGGCAGGCAGGUCUACUCAACUUGAAGGAAGUGCAGACUCGGGAUGCGUUGAUAAACUGAGCUACUGUGAACUGACAUUGGUUCUAGAGGAGGAAAACUUCAGGUUUAGAAGAAAAAAAAAGAGCAACUAAAUGUCUGUGCUUAAUAAGCUUUAAAGAGACUUGGUGAGCUGGUGUUAGCGAGAAUGGUUUUGCAAAAGGAAUCUAUUAUGAUGCUUCACAACUGCCCAGACCGAGGAAUAAUGCCCUUUCUGCUACUCUUUGAGGUCUGAAGGACUUUUUUUUUUUUUUUUUUUUCAAUUAAAGACUGCAUCCUAAGAGUGACCCUACAGGUGCACAAAGGAGAGACUGGUUGCCUGUCAGGGGCGUUGACGAAGGUUUUGUCUGUUUCAGUGUGGAUGCUGUGGAAGCGUUUUAUUGAUUCUAGGGAAAAUUCAGCUGCUUUUUAGUUCAGAUACAUUUGACCUAAAUGUUUUUACUCAGAAAAAAAUAAAGGAAGAGAGAAUGAAAGAAGACUGGGCUUACCUCUACUGUGUCCUUGCUAAAACAGAUGAAGGACACUUUUAAAAACCCAUCACCCUUCGACUCUCUUUUGGUUUGAUCCAGAGCAGUAAGUAUGAGGUGGGUUCACCACGGAGAGGAACAAAACAACAUGUAACAUGGAGCUCAGGGCUUUAGUACUGUUCCUAUUAAGAUCCAAAGCAGACCGAAAGAAUUCACUGGAAAGAAAAUACUGUUAUCUGAAGGUAAAUUCUAGAAAGGACUUC